CGCCUUUUGAAUUAUAAACAUAAAAGGUCCUGCCUGCCCAGUGACACUUGUUUCAACGGCCGCGGUAUCAUGACCGUGCAAAGGUAGCGUAAUCACUUGUCUUUUAAAUAAAGACCAGUAUGAAUGGCAAGACGAAAGCCUAACUGUCUCCUUAAGCUAAUCAAUGAAAUUGAUCUUCCCGUGCAGAAGCGGGAAUAAUAAUAUAAGACGAGAAGACCCUGUGGAGCUUCAAAAUUAAGCUAACAGACCACAAUGCCUUAGCAUACAGUUUUAGGUUGGGGCGACCGUGAGGUAAAACAUAACCCUCAAGACAAAAACCUAAGAAGGACACUUCAAAUAAAUAAUAAUAUAAUAAUUGACCCAAUAAUUGAUCAACGAACCAAGUUACCCCAGGGAUAACAGCGCAAUCUACUCAAAGAGCCCUUAUCGACGAGCAGGUUUACGACCUCGAUGUUGGAUCAGGACCCCCAAAUAAUGUAACAGUUAUUAAAGGUUCGUUUGUUCAACGAUUAAAGUCCU
rnacentral:rRNA from 1 species